GAGCACGUAGGUGGGUUUGUAAGUCAGAUGUGAAAGCCUUCUGUUCAACGGAAGAAUUGCAUCUGAAACUGCGAGUCUUGAGUGUAGGAGGGGAGAAUGGAACUUCUGGUGGAGCGGUGAAAUGCGUAGAUAUCAGAAGGAACUCCGGCGGCGAAAGCGAUUCUCCGGCCUAUUACUGACACUCAGUGUGCGAAAGCUAGGGGAGCAAACGGGAUUAGAUACCCCGGUAGUCCUAGCCGUAAACGAUGGGCACUAAGUAGAGGGGUUUU
rnacentral:rRNA from 1 species